rnacentral:rRNA from 1 species
UGGCUCAGAUUGAACGCGUGGCGGCAUGCUUAACACAUGCAAGUCGAACGCGAAAGUCCUUCGGGGCGAGUAGAGUGGCGGACGGGUGAGUAACGCGUGGGAAUCUACCCUAGAGCGGGGGACAACCCGGGGAAACCCGGGCUAAUACCGCAUACGUCCUACGGGAGAAAGAGGGCCUCUGCUUGCACGCUCUCACUCCAGGAUGAGCCCACGUCCGAUUAGCUAGUUGGUAGGGUAAAGGCCUACCAAGGCCACGAUCGGUAGCUGGUCUGAGAGGAUGAUCAGCCACACUGGGACUGAGACACGGCCCAGACUCCUACGGGAGGCAGCAGUGGGGAAUAUUGGACAAUGGGCGCAAGCCUGAUCCAGCAAUGCCGCGUGUGUGAAGAAGGCCUGCGGGUUGUAAAGCACUUUCAGUGGGGAAGAACAGAUUCGGGUCAAUACCCCGGAGCCCUGACGUUACCCACAGAAGAAGCACCGGCUAACUCCGUG